rnacentral:rRNA from 1 species
GACGAACGCUGGCGGCGUGCCUAAUACAUGCAAGUCGAACGCAGUUGCGAACGGGUGAGUAACGCGUAGGUAACUGCCUCAUAGCGGGGGAUAACUAUUGGAAACGAUAGCUAAUACCGCAUACUGUGAGAUGUACCUGCGUUGUAUUAGCUAGUUGGUGGGGUAAAGGCUCACAAAGGCGACGAUACAUAGCCGGCAUGGGAGGGUGAUCGGGCAAACCGGGAACGAGACACGGGACAGACGGCUAAGGGAGGCAGCAGAAGGGGAAGUGGGGGAAAGUACGGAAGUCGGACCGAGCAAAGGCGGGGGAGUGAAGAAGGUGUUCGGAUCGUAAAGCUCGGUUGUUAGAGAAGCGGUAACUAAACAAAAAGGGACGGCUAACUACGUGCCAGCAGCCGCGGUAAUUC